rnacentral:lncRNA from 1 species
CACACACAACACAUUCGUUUCUAGUACCAACUCUGAAGAUGCUAAAUCCCUUGCAAUUAUUGCAAGAGCGAAAUGAAAGCUCCUCCUUUUUGCAACCUUUGGCAUUCACACUGCUGGCCAUUUUCCUUGUCCUCCUAUACACAUGGUACUCUUCGACUAAAACCACCACCCAAAAAUCAACACAACCACCUUCUCCACCAAAGCUACCUAUCAUUGGAAACCUUCACCAGAUAGGCUCGUACCCUCAUCGAUCACUUCAAGCCUUGUCCCAACGCCAUGGCCCUCUCAUGCUUCUCCACUUUGGAAGUGUCCCGGUGCUUGUUGUCUCUUCAGCUGAGGCAGCCCGGGAGAUCUUGAAAACUCAUGACCUUGCGUUUUCUGAUCGACCCAAGUCCACAAUCUUUGAGAAGCUUCUCUACAACUACAAAGAUGUCGCAACCGCUCCGUAUGGUGAGUAUUGGAGGCAGGUGAGAAGUAUAUGUGUUUUAAAUCUUUUGAGCAACAGAAGGGUUCGGUCUUUUCGUUCUGUGAGAGAAGAGGAAACCAAAUCCAUGAUCAGAAACAUAAAGGACUCAUCAUCAUCAUCUGUUUUGAAUCUAAGCGAGAUGUUUGUGAGGCUUACUAAUGAUGUAGUGUGUAGAGUGGCUCUAGGGAGGAAGUACAGUGAAGGGGAAGGCGGGGAAAGUGGGAGGAUGUUUAAGGAGAUUUUAGGGGAUUUCGCUGACUUACUGGGAACUGUUAAUAUUGGGGACUAUAUCCCAUGGCUUUCUUGGUUGAGCCAUGUCAAUGGUUUGGGAGCCAAGUUAGACAAGGUGGCUAAGCAGUUGGAUGACUUUAUAGAUACAGUGGUUGAAGAGCAUAUGAACCAUAGUUCAAGGAGUGGAUAUGAUGACCAAAAGGAUUUUUUGGACAUUUUGCUUGCAAUUCAGAAAGAAAACUUGGCUGGCAUUCCUAUUGAUAGAGUUAGUGUAAAGGCUAUCAUCUUGGUAACUCUCUCUCUCUCUCUCUCUCUCUCUCUCUCUCUCUCUCUCUCUAUAUAUAUAUAUAUAUAUAUGCGUGUUCAUGUGUGUAUGUUUUCUGUGACAGAGGUGUAACAUAUAGUAGAAUAUAUAUUUUGCAAAAGGUUAAAUAUCUUAAUCCAAUCAAUUGUUUUUAGGACAUGUUUGCUGCUGGCACUGAUACCACAUAUACUGCCUUAGAGUGGGCAAUGACUGAGCUUUUAAGGCAUCCAAGGGUCAUGAACAAAUUGCAGAAUGAGGUAAGGGGAAUAGUCGGAAACAAAACAGACGUAAUUACAGAGGAUGAUUUGGUUGAAAUGCACUACUUGAAGGCAGUGACGAAGGAGACUCUUCGCUUACAUCCACCACUUCCAUUACUAUUUCCCAGGAUGUCAACCCGAGAUGUAGAAGUAAAUGGCUACAUCAUUAAAGCCAACACACAAGUUUUCAUCAGCGCAUGGCAAAUCGGAAGAGAUCCCAAGCUGUAUGACAAACCAGAGGAGUAUGAGCCAGAAAGGUUCUUGAAUAAUGGUAUAGAUUACAAAGGGAAUGACUUCGAAUUGAUUCCAUUUGGAGCUGGUAGGAGGGCAUGCCCAGGAAUUCAGUUUGCCAUGGCUGUUAAUGAAAUUGCCUUAGCAAACAUCGUGCACAAGUUCGAUUGGGCAUUGCCCGGUGAAGCAAGUGGGGAGGAUUUAGACAUGACAGAAACCACUGGUUUAACCGCACAUAAAAAAUAUCCUCUCAAAGCUGUUGCUUUUCCACAAUUCUAAGUUGAGAAAUAGAGG